rnacentral:rRNA from 1 species
AGCUCCAAUAGCGUAUAUUAAAUUUGUUGCAGUUAAAAAGCUCGUAGUCCACGUCUGAGGUUUAGGGUUCUUCUUUAAUUAUUUAAUAAUUAUGGAGGUUUUCCCGGCUUCAUGUGUUAGGGUCUUAUGAAGGCUAUUAAGUUAGCGUCGUGAGUAAACUAGCUACUACUUUGAGGAAAAUAGAGUGUUUCAAGCAUGCAUGUUUGCAUGAAUAAAUUAGCAUGGGAUAGUGUUAUUCGAAUGUUCAAGUUUUAGGGUUUAUGAAUAUUCGAGGAGUAAUAGAAAUAGUUGGGGGCGUUUAUAUUUAAGAGCUAGAGGUGAAAUUCUUGGAUUUCUUAAGGAUACACUAAUGCGAAGGCAUUCGCCAAGGAUGUUUUCA